ensembl:snoRNA
ACAGUCUGAAAAUCGCCUGUGGUCUUCUCCAGUGGCCUCUGGUGAGAUAACAGUGCCAACAGCAAAGGGAGCAUUUAGCUUAUUGCCCACAAGCUUUGUGUGUGGGGGAUGAAACCCGUGCUCCUAUAACU